rnacentral:tRNA from 2 species
GGGGCGGUAGCUCAGCUGGCUGGAGCGCUGCGCUCACAUCGCAGAGGUCGGGGGUUCGAGUCCCUCCCGCCCCA